rnacentral:tRNA from 5 species
GCGGUCAUCGUAUAAUGGCUUUCCAAGAUGAUGAUGCGGGUUCGAUUCCCGCUGACCGCUCCA